GGUUCCAGAGCUGGAACCUAUGAGAUCCUUAGAGACACUACACAUUGUUCUGGAGGGCGGGGGUGGGGUGGGGAAUGGGGAUGGGGUUACUAUCUGAUGAUGGUAGACGCAAGCAGAAGGGUGAGAACAGAAGGCGAUCGUUUCCCUCACUGGCAACAUCAACGUUACCAACAUGAUCACCAUUACCAACCCGAUCACCAUCAACGCCACUAUAAGCAUCACCUGAGUCAUCCUCGCCAUUCAUCACCGUUAUCAUCACCGUCAUCGACACCCCAUCAGCACCACUCUCAUCGUCACCAUCCCAUUUGCCACCCACAACAUCAUCACCGUCACCAUUGUUGAGCCUGAGAAGGGAACGUUUCCACCAUAAGUAGCUAAUGUUUUCGUUCUUGUCUCCCUCGAGAGUUCGGAGGCCAAGCGAAGCUCAUGGACAUUUAAUUUCUCUGCACAAUUGGGUGGUUCUGUUUCCCCACGAUGUGAUUCUUUUAAACUGACCCAUUUCAUACCGUUUUGCCUGGAGCUAGAGCGAUGUGUAUUUCUGGACUCUUCCACCUGGCAGCAGUUCCAAGUGUCUCUCUUCUCUUCUCUUCUCUCUCUCUCUCUCUCUCUCUCUCUCUCUCUCUCUCUCUUUCUUCUUCUCUUCUUCCUCUUCCUCUUCUCUUUCUCUCUCUCUCACUCUCUUCCUCUCUCUCUCUCCCUCUCUCUAAGAUGGUCUCUCUAACUCACCCCACAUUCCUCCCAGGUCCCUGUUGUGUCUGUCCGCUGGUCACACCGCCAUACCCAUUCUUGUCGACUUAUGGGUUUGCUUUUCAGUGCUAUUUGAUUUAGAUCUUUUUAUAUAUAAUUUGCCAAUUUCUCUCUUAAAUGGGGUCAGUGUUAUGAAUACUAAUAAGACUUGGAUUUUACUAAUGUCCCAGCUCAAUCAACCCAUAGACCCAAAGAAUAUUUUUUAAUCAAACGGAAUUCAGAAUUCAAGAUUUCUCUUCUACCUCCGAAGAACAGAAAUCUUUAUCCACACGAGCUGAAGUCACGAUGUUUAAUAGACAUUAUUUAGCAAUGGUACAGGAGUUACUGAGUAUCUACACGGUCACUUCGACCCUCUGGCUUCUCCCUGUGAUGGUUGGUGUCAAAGAUGGAGAACUCUCAUCUCCAGCCCACGGAGAGGCCUGCUGCCAGAGCUGGAGUCAAGAAUCGCAAGUCUUAGCCAACCUGUUGAUGAUCAGUAAUACAUGGCAACUAAGUUAACUCGGCUCUUGACUAUAAAUGCUGGCUGGUUCUGGGCAGUAAAAAGAGCUUCUCGAUCCAGUGGAUGGAGACCAAGCAGUCAGCUCUGACUGGGGAAUAUCAGAGUCAGGCUGGAUGUCAAGGUUGGCCAACACUGAAUGACAGGGGCUGGGAAAGAUGACCCAGUGAUCCCAAGAGCCUCCAACUCAAUACAGCAGACCUAAGCAGAGACACUCAGACUCGCCUCUCUUAGCUCUCCAUCAAGACAACUCAGCAAAUGCCAAUAACCUAACUUUCCCUCAGGGCACUUUGUGGCAUACACAGUUCGUUUCUUCUUCAGCACUGUGGGUAAGCUUGUGAACCCAUUUCCAGAUAAAGGAUCAGGCUGAGAGAGAGAGAGAGAGCUGUUGCAGAAAAUAUUUAAUCUCAGCCUGGGGUUUCUACUCUGCCUUUGACUACUUAGUUCCCAGUUAAAUGACACCUACAUUUUUUUUUUCCGGAGCUGGGGACCGAACGCAGGGCCUUGCGCUUGCUAGGCAAGUGCUCUACCACUGAGCUAAAUCCCCAACCCCCUACAAUGUUUAUAUUUACAAGCCUUACUCAACACUAGAGCUGGGCAGCUAUCUACCCUGUAUGCUAUUAAAAUCUAUUUCCUAUCAAUAA